AUACCAUUAUUACUAUUUAUUUCUCAUACUAACACUCUUAACACUACUCUUUUUUUUCUAUUUCCUUCUUUCAUCCUAGACUACGCUGCUUUCAUCUUCUCUACACCACCAAGGGAUUUGCGGAAGCUCUCGAAGCUAUGGCGUUGUUGAUUCGCCCAAACAGUGUCAUUCGGACUCGAAACACGAUGAGUUGCUUCCCGAUGUGGAGAUUGCAGCGCUCCGCCGCGAAUUCGAAUCUGCCAAACAGAGCUUUCAAAGGAUUCCCGAUGCCCUCAAAGAAAUGCCCAAAAUGAAUCCCAAAGGCAUAUACGUGAAUAAGAGCUUGAGAUUGGACAAAUUGCAAGUUUAUGGUUUUGACUACGAUUACACAUUGGCACAUUACUCAUCUGCCUUGCAGACUUUGAUAUAUGACUUGGCCAAGGAGUACAUGGUGAAUGAGCUUAGGUAUCCUGAGAUUUGCAUGGAAUUCAAGUAUGAUCCAAGUUUCCCCAUUCGAGGCUUAUACUAUGAUAAGUCUAAAGGGUGCCUAAUGAAGCUGGAUUUCUUCGGGUCAAUUGAGCCAGAUGGAUGUUAUUUUGGUCGACGCAGGCUAAGCCGAAGGGAAAUUCGUGAUGUAUAUGGAACACGACAUAUUGGUCGCGAUCAAGCUCGAUCACUUGUUGGUUUGAUGGAUUUCUUCUGCUUCAGUGAGGCAUGCCUCCUUGCAGAUAUAGUGCAAUACUUUGUUGAUGCCAAGCUAGAAUUUGAUGCUUCCUACAUAUAUGAAGACGUGAUUCGGGCAAUUGAUCAUGUCCACCGGAGUGGCCGGGUUCACAGAGGAAUUCUCUCUGAUCCACAUAGAUACUUAGUUAAAAAUGGGACGAUGUUGAGUUUUCUUAAGAUGCUAAGGGAGAAGGGCAAGAAGCUUUUCUUGUUGACUAAUUCUCCUUAUUACUUUGUGGAUGGAGGAAUGCGUUUUAUGUUACAGGAUUCUAUGGAUUGUAGAGACUCCUGGAUGGAACUGUUUGAUGUUGUGAUUGCUAAGGCUAAUAAACCACAGUUUUAUACAUCUGAUCAUCCAUUCCGUUGUUAUGACAUGGAGAAGGACAAAUUAACUUUUACCAAAGUCGAGAAAUUUCUUCCAAACAAAAUAUAUUAUCAUGGAUGCCUCAAAUCCUUUCUCCAAAUAACAAAGUGGAAGGGCCCAGAGGUGAUAUAUUUUGGAGAUCAUCUAUUUAGCGACCUGAGAGGUCCCUCAAAGGCAGGUUGGCGCACAGCUGCUAUCAUCCAUGAACUGGAGAAUGAAAUACGCAUACAGAAUGGAGAUAAUUACCGUUGGGAACAGGCCAAGUUUCAUAUAAUACAAGAAUUACUAGGUAAGUUGCAUGCAACUGCGGCUAAUAGUAUGAGAACCUCGUCUUGCAAUUUACUUCUGGAAGAACUUAAUGGGGAAAGGCAAAAAGCACGCAAUAUGAUGAAGACGAUGUUUAAUAAGUCUUUUGGAGCAACAUUCCUGACUAGUACAGGUCAGGAAUCUGCUUUUGCUUAUAACAUUCAUCAGUAUGCAGAUGUUUAUACCAGUAAGCCGGAGAAUUUUCUUCUCCAUUCAACUGAAGCUUGGCUUCAUGUUCCAUAUGAUGUCAAGAUUAUGCCUCAUCACGUGAAGAUUCCAUCAAGUUUGUUUAAUACCUGAUGAGCUAGUCCUCAGAAUCAUUCAAACUGAGUGGCAUUCCGUGGUUCUACUAUUGCCGGUGUAAUGGCGGCGGCAAUUGAACUAAGUGUUCCAUUAUGGAGGUGCAAACAGGAGAUACUUGUUGCAGCAGUCACUUCCAUUCAGUUUAAUUCUUUUGUUCUUGAUUUCCCCAAUAUCUGGGCGUUUCUAACAAACUCGGAUGGCAACUGCUGUCGAUCCACAGGAACUUGCAAUCAAUAAUCAUUAACCAGAAGUGCUACCAAGUCCUAGUACGAGGUCAAACAUGACGAUUUCACUGGUGGAUUAUAGCAUGGGUUAACUUAUGAGGGGUCUUUUGUCGUCUAGUAACUAAAUCCUUGCAUAUUCUGACAUGGUUAGGGCUUUGGGUCGGCUAAUGUUUAUUUAUAUACUCACUGAAUCUGAAAUGUUGCUGCAAAUUGCAACAUAUAUUAGUCGUAAAAAAUGCGGAUAUGUUCAACUCUU